GCCUGCCCAGUGAUUAAACGGCCGCGGUAUUCUAACCGUGCAAAGGUAGCGUAAUCACUUGUCUUUUAAAUAAAGACUAGAAUGAAUGGCCAAACGAGGUUCUACCUGUCUCUUAUGGAUAAUCAGUGAAAUUGAUCCCCCCGUGCAAAAGCGGGGAUAACCCUAUAAGACGAGAAGACCCUGUGGAACUUUAAAUACAUAUUUAAUUAUUUUUGGUUGGGGUGACCUCGGAGUAAAACAAAACCUCCGAAAAAAGAACACCUAGACUUACAAUUCAAAGAAAUGAUCCAACAUAUUUGAUCAACGGACCAAGCUACCCCAGGGAUAACAGCGCAAUCCCAUCCUAGAGUCCCUAUCGACGAUGGGGUUUACGACCUCGAUGUUGGAUCAGGACAUCCUGAUGGUGUAACCGCUAUCAAGGGUUCGUUUGUUCAACGAUUAAAGUCCUAC
rnacentral:rRNA from 1 species